rnacentral:rRNA from 1 species
AGAGCGAACGCUGGCGGCAGGCCUAAUACAUGCAAGUCGAACGAAGCCUUCGGGCUUAGUGGCGGACGGGUGAGUAACACGUGGGAACGUACCCUUUGGUUCGGAACAACUCAGGGAAACUUGAGCUAAUACCGAAUGUGCCCCCAUCCUUAAAAAAGAUGGGUGGGAAAGAUUUAUCGCCAUUGGAGCGGCCCGCGUCUGAUUAGCUAGUUGGUGAGGUAAAGGCCCACCAAGGCUACGAUCAGUAGCUGGUCUGAGAGGAUGAUCAGCCACACUGGGACUGAGACACGGCCCAGACUCCUACGGGAGGCAGCAGUAGGGAAUCUUGCGCAAUGGGCAAAGCCUGACGCAGCCAUGCCGCGUGAAUGAUGAAGGUCUUAGGAUUGUAAAAUUCUUUCAGCGGGGACGAUAAUGACGGUACCCGCAGAAGAAGCCCGGCUAACUUCGCGCCAGCAGCCGC